UAGGGAAUCUUCCACAAUGGACGAAAGUCUGAUGGAGCAACGCCGCGUGAGUGAAGAAGGGUUUCGGCUCGUAAAGCUCUGUUGUUGGAGAAGAACGUGCGUGAGAGUAACUGUUCACGCAGUGACGGUAUCCAACCAGAAAGUCACGGCUAACUACGUGCCAGAAGCCGCGGUAAUACGUAGGUGGCAAGCGUUAUCCGGAUUUAUUGGGCGUAAAGGGAACGCAGGCGGUCUUUUAAGUCUGAUGUGAAAGCCUUCGGCUUAACCGAAGAAGUGCAUCGGAAACCGGGCGACUUGAGUGCAGAAGAGGACAGUGGAACUCCAUGUGUAGCGGUGGAAUGCGUAGAUAUAUGGAAGAACACCAGUGGCGAAGGCGGCUGUCUGGUCUGCAACUGACGCUGAGGCUCGAAAGCAUGGGUAGCGAACAGG
rnacentral:rRNA from 1 species